CACCGCCUGCCCGCGCCGCCGCCGGCGAGCUCGCCGUCGGCCGGAACCCUAGAAACCGGCCAGUCCCGCCAUGCCACGUGGCAGGGUUUUCUUUUUUUUUUAAUUCGGCCGAAUUGGAUAAUGCAAUUUUGCAGAAAAGCCCCUACAACUUCAAAACCUUAUAUCUUUCAAACCGUUUGUCCAAAAUUUGUGUUCCGCACCUUUCUGGAAUCGUCACAACGUGUAGAAUAUUUUGGCACUGUUUAUUUCCAUUUUUGAAUAACUUAGACAGUAGCUAUUUGCAGAAUGGUUGAAUAUGGUUUAAAUUUCAAAUGAAUUGUUUCAAAAUAGUUUUGAGCAUGUUAUUUUGCUGUAAAAUUAUUUAAACUUGUUCUCUGUCCAUUAGGACCAGAAAAGAAAUUAUAUUGUGUAUAAUCAUGGCAU
rnacentral:lncRNA from 1 species